rnacentral:tRNA from 1 species
UAGGAGAUAGUAUAUUGGUAGUACAAAGAAUUUUGGAUUCUUAGGUGUAGGUUCAAAUCCCAUUCUUCUAG